AACAUUGCAAUGAGUGGCGAACGGGUGAGUAACACGUGGGAAACCUACCUCUUAGCAGGGGAUAACAUUUGGAAACAAAUGCUAAUACCGUAUAAUAAUUAAAACCGCAUGGUUUUAGUUUAAAAGAUGGUCUUGCUAUCACUAAGAGAUGGUCCCGCGGUGUAUUAGUUAGUUGGUGAGGUAAUGGCUCACCAAGACAAUGAUACAUAGCCGAGUUGAGAGACUGACCGGCCACAAUGGGACUGAGACACGGCCCAUACUCCUACGGGAGGCAGCAGUAGGGAAUCUUCCACAAUGGACGAAAGUCUGAUGGAGCAACGCCGCGUGUGUGAUGAAGGGUUUCGGCUCGUAAAACACUGUUGUAAGAGAAGAAUGACAUUGAGAGUAACUGUUCAAUGUGUGACGGUAUCUUACCAGAAAGGAACGGCUAAAUACGUGCCAGCAGCCGCGGUAAUACGUAUGUUCCAAGCGUUAUCCGGAUUUAUUGGGCGUAAAGCGAGCGCAGACGGUUAUUUAAGUCUGAAGUGAAAGCCCUCGGCUCAACCGAGGAAUUGCUUUGGAAACUGGAUAACUUGAGUGCAGUAGAGGAAAGUGGAACUCCAUGUGUAGCGGUGAAAUGCGUAGAUAUAUGGAAGAACACCAGUGGCGAAGGCGGCUUUCUGGACUGUAACUGACGUUGAGGCUCGAAAGUGUGGGUAGCAAACAGGAUUAGAUACCCUGGUAGCCCACACUGUAAACGAUGAGUGCUAGUUGUUUGAGGGUUUCCGCCCUUGAGUGACGAAGCUAACGCAUUAAGCACUCCGCCUGGGGAGUACGACCGCAAGGUUGAAACUCAAAGGAAUUGACGGGGACCCGCACAAGCGGUGGAGCAUG
rnacentral:rRNA from 1 species